rnacentral:tRNA from 1 species
GCCGGAGUGGCGGAAUGGCAGACGCAGAGGACUCAAAAUCCUCCGAAGGCGACUUCGUGUGGGUUCAACUCCCACCUCCGGCACCA